GCCUCUAUGGUGUAGUGGAGAGCACGGUCGCCUCCUACGCGACAGGCCCGGGUUCGAAUCCCGUUGGAGACA